rnacentral:pre_miRNA from 1 species
GUGAGUGAUUAUGGUUUAAGUAAUACGAAUUACAUAAACUAUAUUUAACCACUAUUCUUAG